rnacentral:ncRNA from 2 species
AGAAAUCGCUAGGGGAGCAUUUGCUGAGAUUGAAUUCGUUAUGGAUUCUAACCCUCAUAACCUGAUCCGGAUAAUACCGGCGAAGGGAAGCUGGAUUUUAUGAAA